CCUACGGGAGGCAGCAGUGGGGAAUUUUGGACAAUGGACGAAAGUCUGAUCCAGCGACGCCGCGUGAAGGACGAAGGUUUUCGGAUCGUAAACUUCUUUUACAGGGGACGAAAGCUCGCAAGAGUUUGACGGUACUCUGUGAAUAAGCCACGGCUAACUACGUGCCAGCAGCCGCGGUAAUA
rnacentral:rRNA from 1 species